AUCAGUGGUGUCUUACAUAAAAUGAUCCUCAUUUACAAACUGCAGAUCUUGCAAAUCUUCAAUGCUGUCAAUUUAACAAGAGAAAGCACCGUUAAAACUAAAUGCCAAAGUUUUAUUUCUCCAGGUGAAAUGACUGAAAAUGAUGGCUCCAGUGUAUGUUUUAAGUUCCAGUUACCAGCAAGGUAUUGCACUCUCGUACAACUGGAUUCAAGCAAGGGUUCGUUGUCUAGGUUUUAUUCGUGGAUAUAACUCAAGAAGAUUU